UACGUAGGGUGCAAGCGUUGUCCGGAAUUAUUGGGCGUAAAGAGCUUGUAGGCGGUUUGUCGCGUCUGCUGUGAAAUUUCGGGGCUCAACCCCGAACUUGCAGUGGGUACGGGCAGACUAGAGUGUGGUAGGGGAGACUGGAAUUCCUGGUGGUAGCGGUGAAAUGCGCAGAUAUCAGGAGGAACACCGAUGGCGAAGGCAGGUCUCUGGGCCAUAACUGACGCUGAGAAGCGAAAGCAUGGGGAGCGAACAGG
rnacentral:rRNA from 1 species